AGAGUUUGAUCAUGGCUCAGAGUGAACGCUGGCGGCGUGCUUAACACAUGCAAGUCGAACGAGAACGGUCCUAGCUUGCUAGGAUGUCAGCUAAGUGGCGGACGGGUGAGCAAUGUAUAGUUAAUCUGCCCCCUAGAGAGGGAUAACUACUGGAAACGGUAGCUAAUACCUCAUACUCCUUUUACCUUAAUGGUAAUUGGGAAAUGUCUUUUCGCUAGGGGAUGAGACUAUAUGGUAUCAGGUAGUUGGUGGGGUAAGAGCCCACCAAGCCAAUGACGCCUAGCUGGUCUGAGAGGAUGAUCAGCCACACUGGAACUGAGACACGGUCCAGACUCCUACGGGAGGCAGCAGUGGGGAAUAUUGCACAAUGGAGGAAACUCUGAUGCAGCAACGCCGCGUGGAGGAUGACACAUUUCGGUGCGUAAACUCCUUUUAUAUGGGAAGAUAAUGACGGUACCAUAUGAAUAAGCACCGGCUAACUCCGUGCCAGCAGCCGCGGUAAUACGGAGGGUGCGAGCGUUACUCGGAAUCACUGGGCGUAAAGCGCGCGCAGGCGGCUAUUUAAGUUGGAUGUGAAAGCCUACGGCUCAACCGUAGAGCUGCAUCCAAAACUAUUUAGCUAGAGUGUGGGAGAGGAAGAUGGAAUUAGUUGUGUAGGGGUAAAAUCCGUAGAGAUAACUAGGAAUACC
rnacentral:rRNA from 1 species